rnacentral:rRNA from 1 species
AACGAACGCUGGCGGCAUGCCUAACACAUGCAAGUCGAACGAGACCUUCGGGUCUAGUGGCGCACGGGUGAGUAAUGGUUGAGAACGUGCCCUUAGGUGGGGAAUAACAGUUGGAAACGACUGCUAAUACCGCAUGGCCUCGAAAGAGUAAAGGUGGGGAUCUUCGGACCUACCGCCAAAGGAUCGGCUCAACUCCCAUUAGCUAGUUGGCAGGGUAAUGGCCUACCAAGGCAACGAUGGGUAUGUGGUCUUAGAGGAUGAUCACACACACUGGAACUGAGACACGGUCCAGACUCCUACGGGAGGCAGCAGUAGGGAAUAUUGCACAAUGGAGGAAACUCUGAUGCAGCAACGCCGCGUGAGUGAAGAAGGCCCUUGGGUCGUAAAGCUCUUUAGCCUGGAAAGAAGUGCCUGUAGGUGAACAAUCUGCGGGUGUGACGGUACCAGGAGAAUAAGCCCCGGCAA